GAUGAAGAACGCAGCGAAAUGCGAUACGUAAUGUGAAUUGCAGAAUUCAGUGAAUCAUCGAAUCUUUGAACGCAUAUUGCGCUCUUUGGUAUUCCGAAGAGCAUGCUUGUUUGAGUAUCAGUAAACACCUCAACCUCUUCUUGAUUUUUCAAAAGGAGGGUGGACUUGAGCUAUCCCAACAACCUUUACCGGUCGGCGGGCGGCUUGAAAUGCAGGUGCAGCUGGACUUUUAUCUGAGCUAAAAGCAUAUCUAUUUAGUCCUCGUCAAACAGGAUUAUUACUUUUGCUGCAGCUAACAUAAAGGAUAAUUGUCCUCUUUGCUGACUGAUGCAGGAUUUUACGACACUUUAUGUGUUGUUCAACUCGAUCUCAAAUCAAGUAAGACUACCCGCUGAACUUAAGCAUAUAAUAGCGGAGGA
rnacentral:misc_RNA from 1 species